AUUGAACGCUGGCGGCAUGCUUUACACAUGCAAGUCGAACGGUAACAGGCCGCAAGGUGCUGACGAGUGGCGAACGGGUGAGUAAUGCAUCGGAACGUGCCCAGUCGUGGGGGAUAACUACUCGAAAGAGUAGCUAAUACCGCAUACGAUCUAUGGAUGAAAGCGGGGGACCGUAAGGCCUCGCGCGAUUGGAGCGGCCGAUGUCAGAUUAGGUAGUUGGUGGGGUAAAGGCUCACCAAGCCAACGAUCUGUAGCUGGUCUGAGAGGACGACCAGCCACGCUGGGACUGAGACACGGCCCAGACUCCUACGGGAGGCAGCAGUGGGGAAUUUUGGACAAUGGGCGCAAGCCUGAUCCAGCAAUGCCGCGUGCAGGAAGAAGGCCUUCAGGUUGUAAACUGCUUUUGUACGGAACGAAACGGCUCUGGUUAAUACCCGGGGCUAAUGACGGUACCGUAAGAAUAAGCACCGGCUAACUACGUG
rnacentral:rRNA from 1 species